GAUGAACGCUGACAGAAUGCUUAACACAUGCAAGUCUACUUGAACUUCGGUUUGGGUGGCGGACGGGUGAGUAACGCGUAAAGAACUUGCCUCACAGUUAGGGACAACACUUGGAAACGAAUGCUAAUACCUGAUAUUAUGAUUUUAGGGCAUCCUAGGAUUAUGAAAGCUAUAUGUGCUGUGAGAGAGCUUUGCGUCCCAUUAGCUAGUUGGAGAGGUAACGGCUCACCAAGGCGAUGAUGGGUAGCCGGCCUGAGAGGGUGAACGGCCACAAGGGGACUGAGACACGGCCCUUACUCCUACGGGAGGCAGCAGUGGGGAAUAUUGGACAAUGGACCAAAAGUCUGAUCCAGCAAUUCUGUGUGCACGAUGACGUUUUUCGGAAUGUAAAGUGCUUUCAGUUGGGAAGAAAAAAAUGACGGUACCAACAGAAGAAGUGACGGCUAAAUACGUG
rnacentral:rRNA from 1 species